GACGAACGCUGGCGGCGUGCUUAACACAUGCAAGUCGAACGGAAAGGCCCAGCUUGCUGGGUGCUCGAGUGGCGAACGGGUGAGUAACACGUGGGUGAUCUGCCUCUAACUUCGGGAUAAGCUUGGGUAACUGGGUCUAAUACCGGAUAGGACAAUCGUUUAGUGUCGGUUGUGGAAAGUUUUUUCGGUUAGGGAUGGGCCCGCGGCCUAUCAGCUUGUUGGUGGGGUAAUGGCCUACCAAGGCGUCGACGGGUAGCCGGCCUGAGAGGGUGGACGGCCACAUUGGGACUGAGAUACGGCCCAGACUCCUACGGGAGGCAGCAGUGGGGAAUAUUGCACAAUGGGCGCAAGCCUGAUGCAGCGACGCCGCGUGGGGGAUGACGGCCUUCGGGUUGUAAACCUCUUUCGACAGGGACGAAGCUUUGGUGACGGUACCUGUAGAAGAAGCACCGGCUAACUACGUG
rnacentral:rRNA from 1 species